rnacentral:misc_RNA from 1 species
GAGAGAGAGAGAGAGAUCAACAAGACCAAAAGUAAAGGAAAGACACAGGUAGUGAUAUAUAUAUAGUGAGCAAAUCCUCUGCAACUUCUUACGCGGGAAACAAAACAGCUACAAUACCUUCAGUUUCUCCUCUCAUAAGAUAACUGCAGCUUCUAAAUCUACGAAAAUUAAACUAUACAUCCAUCGCCAAGAAAGAACAACGAUGGAAGAAAAAGAAAAAGAACAAAAAAAAAGAAGCAACGUCAGAAAUUUAUUAUAAACACCCU